UCAGGGUUCGAUUCCGGAGAGGGAGCCUGAGAAACGGCUACCACAUCCAAGGAAGGCAGCAGGCGCGCAAAUUACCCAAUCCUGACGCAGGGAGGUAGUGACAAUACGUAGCGAUGCCGAACUAUCAGUUUGGCAAUCGAAAUGAGGGCAAACUAAACCCCACACCGAGGAUCUAUUGGAGGGCAAGUCUGGUGCCAGCAGCCGCGGUAAUUC
rnacentral:rRNA from 1 species